ensembl:lncRNA
UUCCACAGGAGGACCUGCUCGUGUGACUGCACCCCAGAUCCUGUGUCCAUCGUGUCGUGUUGUGGACUGGGUCCUGCUGUAAGGGAAGGCUGCUCCUUCCCUGCUCCACACGCACAGUGCUCUGAACUGGCUCAGAACACAGAAGACUCUGAUUUGGAAUCAUGUCGGGGAGCAUGGUGAGGAAGGUCCAGCCUUUCACGAUUGGGACACGGCUGUCGGUCCCCACUGUGCCGAAGUGCCCAGAGUUUGUAGCCACCUUCUUGCCGAGCCAGGCCCUGGACAUCUGCGGGUCAGGGACACACCUGAUCCAAGCACCUUGUGGCACCGAGUCGCCUGGCGGCCAGGUGUUGUUGACCCAGGCGACUGAAGCUGACUGCUGGCAGCAUGAGGUAUCCACAGAAGAUUAUGUCAGCAGCAGCAAUGCUGUCUCCCAAAGCAGUUCCUCUAGGUCUAUCAGGAAGAUUACCAUCUCCGGGAGGACUGGAACCACUGGGGACGGUGAAGCCCAGGUAUCAGACUGCCGUAAUGCCUCACGCACAUCCAGCUUGGAAGAUAACAGCAAGAGCAACACUGCCUCCAACCCCUUACCUGCAAUGACCAACAGGACCUGUGAGGUGGAUUCCUACUUCAAGGUUCUGCUAAGGAAAGAUGCUGAUGUAGUGCUACAGGAACAUCAAAGUCAAGAUGUAGAUGUUGGAGACAAAUCCACUACCAAAGACCAGAUAAUUCUGCUGAGAGCGGUUUCGCCAAAAAGAGAGCUGGUGGAUAGGAUUUGCCCAUCCUUCGCUAACAGAGAAACGCCGUCCUCUCCAGAAGAGAUCCCGGCACAUAAUGACCACACCAUGACUCAGCCCAACAGCUCCUUCAUUAGAGAAGUCCUACAGGCAGAGGAGUGGAUCAGAGGGAAACUCAGAGAUUUGACAAAUGCCGGCAGUGUCCAAAAGGGCCCACAGCAGAACUGGGAGGAAGCAUCACAGACAGUGCAAAGAGAUCUGAAGGACUUUGAGAAUACACUCAUACAGCUGAACCAGAUGGGGGAGAAGCUCAUAUGUGAACAGAAUCCCAGCGCAGACGUAGUGAGGGAUCAGCUGAGUCAGCUCAAAGACCAGUGGCACACCUUGAAGAAGAUGGCCUCCAGUCAAUCCACUGCAGCGCACUUUGGCAGGAAAGUGGACAAGCUGGACACCUGGACAAAGGAGAAGGAGGAGGAGCAGUCACUUGUUGCGUUUUGUGGGGAGAACGUUGACAACGUCCAAGUGACAAGAAGGACCCUGGAUUUGAAGCAAGUCAAGCGGCAGUAUAUAGUUCUUCAUGAAGACUUUAACCACCCGACUUGGAAGCUAGAAAAGCCAUGGAGAAGUGAGAACGAGAAGAAUUGCGUCAAGAGAACGUGGCUUGAGGUUCAGUCACGUCUGAAGGACUGCCAUGAAAAUCUUCAGCUCGCUCUAGAGGUGUCCUCCUUUUACCAGCUGGCUGACAGAAUUCUCAGUGCUAUUACCAAUAAGAGAAAAAGCAUUUCUCUAACAAAUGGCCAGGAGAGUGACCGAGAUAGAGAAUUUAUAGAAAUAACCAGACAAGUUAUGAUGCUGGACACAAUUGUUUCUCAGCUCUCAAGUUUCCAUCCAACCCUUGCCGUCAGACUGACUCAUAAACUGGAUGAGGUAAAGGGAGGCUGGGCAUUCCUACAGGCAGCUCACAGCAGGAAAGAGAAGUUUGAUCAUCCUUCUGAUGACCAUGUCACAAAAGAAGACACUGAGGUACAGAGCAUUUCCAGAGAGCUGCAAGGUUGCACAGAAAAUGAGGCACUGAGGAUCAUGGGAAAGGAGGACAAGGAAGAACAGAAUCGGCUCAAAGGAUGUGUGGGUGCAAGAGAACCUGGGAUCAUUUGGAAGUCAAUGAAUACCCAAGAUGAGGACAAAUUUUCAGUAAACUGUGCCCCAACCAUGGAAAAUGGCUGUGAUGUCAUGGGGAGAGGCCAGACGGAGAGGCAAAGGGAAAUAGAGAUGAGUGACAGCCAAAGCUACCCACCUGGAUGGGACCCUCACCUCCACACACAAGAAGAGCAGUUCACUGCAUCUGCAGAUGAGAAAGUCCAGAGUCUGAUGCGAUCCCAUUGCUCAGAGAACACCAAGAUAGAAGAGUUUCUCCUUCAGUUAGAGCUGCUGUGGGAAGAGCUGAAGAAAAGACACAAGAAGAACAUGGAAGUACUUCAAGAUCUGGAAGCGCUCAACCUGAAGACUGUCGAAGUUCUGAAGAGCCUGAAAAACCUAGAUGUCUGGCUGCACUCAACAGAACCUUCCAUUCAACAGGCCUCAUUGAUAAUGUGUCCUGAGGCUGUGACCAGGGUUGAGCACCAGAGCUGUCGGGUGGACAAAGAUAUGCCUCCCUCUGGUCAAGAGGCAGUGAAGAUUCAGAAGAGGAGGCACAUCCACACCCAACAGCUUCAUGCAAGAAUGGAUGAGGUUGAGAAGCAGUAUCAAAGUGUGCUGACCGCUCUAAAAUGGCAGACCUCCAAUCAACAGGGUAAAGCUGUGCAAAUGGUCAGCCUAGAGGACGUGGAAACACAUCAAGGGUUACCCAAGGAAUGUUAUGGGACACUAGGGCAGAUGGAUUAUGAAAUCAUCAAAGAGGAAAUAGCACAAAUGGAGGAUAUGGUGGCUCACUGGGAUGGAGCUUGGACCUUGAGAGAGGAGAUCCAGGCCCUGCGGGAAGCUUGGGAAAACCUGGAGAGCAGCAUGGGUGCAAAUCGGAGCACAUUGCUACAGCUGGAGCAGCUGCAGAACUUCUUCAGCCAUUACCAGGCAAUGAUUUCACGAACAAGGAACAACCGCUGUGGCUUGUUGCCUGAGAACACAUGGCACGGUGGAGAAGGGUGCGAGGUGGAAGCUGCUUCUGAUUUGGACAUGGAGCAGAAGCUGGAUGACCUGAAAGGCCUUGCUGCUGCAGGGCAGAUGCUUACAGAUGCCGGGCACCGUUCUGUAGAGAUGAUAAGGGAGAGGACGGAAGAGCUGUGGGGAAAACUAGGGUGGAUGCUCAUAUGCCGGAGGAUACAGCAGCACUCGCGGGCCAGUAAGAAGUGGAACCCAGGGGCAGAGAGAGAGGUUUGCUCUGGAACUACUGAUUCCACACAACCACAAGAGGCUGUCUUUGUCGAACCGGAGUCUCACCGACAGCCAGAAGAGAUAAAUGGCAAACAAGAAACACUCUGUAGCAGUCCCCUUCCAAGAUGUGCAAACCCAGAGGAGGGCUGGUGCACACUACAGCCACGGAGUGGGUUGGAGCUGUUGCAUGUUUCUGAAACAAAAGACGAUAAUGCGGCCUCAACAUCAACAAAGGCGCACCUCUUGGAUCCACGGGCACCGAAGUCACCUAUUCUGGUUAUGAACAACCCGGCUGGCCCCUUACUUGGCAACACUGUAAACCUCAUCCUCAGCUUCAGCGAGAUGAAGGAAAGGCAACCACUGGAGCUGAAACCAGAACAGAAGAUGGAAGUCUCAGAACCCAAGCACAGGGUAAGCACAUAUUUGCAUGUGAAAGAGAAUCAAACUUUGGAGUCUUUGCUUGGGAGUAGCAAUCUGACUAACCAAACUUCCAAGUGCGACCCAUCUUCUUCCCUCUCUGCUACACCAUCUGGCCAGCACCAAGACAGCAAAGAGCAAUUCCAGGACUUAUCCAGGAGCAAUACCUACUCCACCUUCAAUACUCUGAAGAGCAAGAGAAGCAAGAAGAGGAGAGAAGCACGUAGGCAUACUGUGCAGAUGAUUAUGGGAAGGAAGAAAGCUGAAGAGAUGACCCCUGCUCAAAGUCAUUUCCUGUACAGGAGCCAUAGCUGGACUUUCAGGGAUAGGAAGAUGAACAAACCCACAGAUGUUUGGAUAGAAAAUGUAGAUCAUCUUGGAAAGAAAACUGAUGCUAAAAAUUCAUGGGAAAAGAACACUAGUGCAGUGUGUUUAGCUUUGUCGGAGGAUCCUUCUGGAUGGACCCAAAGGAUCCUUGGUAAACCUGUCAACAACCACUGCAGGCAUCUCCCACUGGGUUCUAUGUUGAGCUUUGACCUUCCCAAGGACCAAAGUCCCAUCACCACCAUACCAGACAUGAUAAUCAUAGAUCCUUCAGAACCAAAAUGCAGGGAACUUCAUGACCCAGGUACUCCAAACGUAAAGUUGGGCAGAUAUGGAGAUUUAAGUCCUAUUAGAGUGUCACAGUUAUCACCAGAACACAGCAGAAAAACAAUGAAACACAGAGACGAAGAGAUACAUUCCGUAAAAGAUUCACACCAAAAUCCUGAGGUGCAGAGCUAUAACUUGAAAAGGAAUUCAUGCCUCAUAGCAAAUAAAACAGAACACCAUGCUCAUGACCACCUCUCUUGCAAGUCAAAUAUUUUGAGCAAUGACCUGCCUGAGUCAGAUCCCUGUCUGAGUCAAAUCGCAGAUGGGAUUCAAUGUAAGAAAUCUUGUGGCCACAGCCAAAAAACCUGUGCAGACACCAAAACGGACAACUGUGGAACCGCCACCUGUGGUCAUGAUUUUACGUCGCUCUUAGUGAACCAUGUGUGUCCAAGUGUUCACACUAAAAUUCGGGAUCUGAAAGGACAUAUAUAUCAUGCUCCAGCUAAGUGGCAAAGGCCACAGGUUUCAGUCACAGGCAUCGAUACCACAUUUAUUUCAAAGGAUAGUUCCAAAGAGUUGGAUGCUCCUAUGUCUGGACUUGUUGGACAUUCUGCUAGGUUUUUAGAUGUCCACUUGCCCAGGGGCACUGCUGAGGUGGGAUCUCUAGUGAAUGAGGAUGCUGCUAUCAACAUUCAGAAAGAUUCAACUGAACUGGGACUAACAGCAGUGGACGUCCUCCAUCCUGACCAUGGACAGUUUGAGGAGGAAGAGGCAGAGCUGGAGGACAUCUGGAACCAGGUGAAAAUGUACAAUAACCCCCAUAAUGACACCCAUCAGAGUGUCCAGAGAGAUGCAGCUCUCACUCCUCCCUGCCCUUCAGGAAAAGACCUCUAUGAAAACCUGGAUGAAGUCCACAAGAAGCCUGUUACAGUCUCCACACGGAACCUCCUGGUGGCUGAGUUUAAGCUGCCUGCCUCCAUCCAAAGCCUUCUUGGGUACAGCAAAGAAGAGAGCCAUGGAAAGAGAAAGAACCCUAACACAGAAAAAGAGGCAUCCCAGGCCUCUGUCCCUGUGACAGAGCAGCUGAGACAAUCAGUGGCACUGGUGAGCCACACCAUCUCUUGUCCAAGAGAACUUGGUGCUACAGAAGACCAGCAACCGUGCCAUUUUACAUGGAACAAAAUGGGGGAUGAGUUGGAGAGCACCAGUAGUUCAAAGACCGGGACGAAAGCAGAAUCUCAUUCAAUGGAAGGGGUUCUGGAGAUGAAGUAUACAACACAAAAGUCAGGACAGAAGGCUUCCUGUCAAAUGUGGAACACCUUCCAUGCUGCAUUAUUCAACCAGAUGCUGUGCUUCUUCAAGCAGAAAAAGGACGCCAUGGAGACGCCAUUGUCUGAGCUGACCCUUGAUCUUCUUGAUGCUGAGGCCACGGCUGGCCCUGAGUACACUGAGAAACCCAACUGUUUCUGUCUUCGCUUACGGGAUGGCUCAGAAUACCUGCUUAGAGCUGCAUCCCCUUCUUUGACCAGUGCUUGGAUGGAGAAGAUCCAAGCCAACACGGGCUUGAGAAAAAAGGAUAACCCUAAAAAUCAGUCUCCAGACUCUGUACCGGACCUGUCCUUGCCUCUCCACUCCACAUGUCACUGUGCUCCACGACUUGGUAGCCCUUCUUUUCGCUCAGAACAGCUUGAUGUAAGAAACACCAGCACCGAAGAGACUGCGGUUACGACAAGAGACAGUCCUCCGAUGCCACAGUGGCAUUUUGGGAAAACGGAGGACCAAGACCUGUGUUCAGAUGCAGGGCGCAAUGUCGCUUACCAGAAGAUCACACCGGUCGUCCCUCCCUGUGCAGCACGUGUGAGCAGUCCCAGCUACUCUGUGACUUUGCUCAUUGGAGAGAAUACCCCAGACAGCACUCCAGAGUGACAGGUGCCCCAUGGCAGUUUCUCCUCAGUGUGCGAGAGAAGACGAAGCCACAGCUCUGUCAAAGUAAAAGGACAAAGUAAAGAGGACAAAUCUAUGCUAUUAUUAUUAUUAUUAUUAUUAUUAUUACCUUGUAAUAAUAAUGUACCUACCACAUUUUAUUGUUUUACCCUGUUGGACUUUAUGUAGUAUGUAAAAGUAUCAGUAUACUUUUAUAUGUAUAUAUUUACUAUACUUUCAGGAAUGUGACAUCAUACUCAAAUGUACUUUAUGAAAAUCUGAAUACUCAAAUGGAAAUAGACUUAAAGAAUAAGUCAUUGUGUUUUUGUGUUUAUUUUUUUCUUCAUGUUUCUCGCAUUGCUCAUGUACAAAUAUUGCAUCUCUUGUAAGGCUCUUAGAAAAGCAAUGACUGAGAGUACCUGACCAACCUGCUGUUAUUAGCAGUGCACUAAUCUGCUGAAAAGUAAUCAUUUUCAGGAGUGGAAAAAAAAAUCCCAUUUUUCCAAUUUUUUCUGAAACCUUUGUCUUGCAUGCUCAAUUAUUUCCAUUAAAAGAAGUAAUGUUCUGCAUGGAUAACGUUCAAACCUUGCACAA